AUUAAAGAUUGAUUUAUGUCACCAAAAUACAGAUUUUCGUGAAGAUUUUUCACACAAUGAUUUCAGUAUGGUUAACAAACAUAAUGCCUGUCUUUUUUUGAUGGUUAAAAUAUUGCAUGCACGUAAAUUCAACCAACGUGUCAUUUUGUGUACAGUUUGUGUGUGUAAAAUGUGUAUAAAUUUAUUGAUGAGUAACCCGCC
rnacentral:lncRNA from 1 species